UAAGUUUGCAGCGAAAUUGGUUCCCAUGAACAGCAUACUUGGAAUUGGGAUUAAUAGGGAAUUCGGUGAGAAACCGAAGCUGUCCCCGCAACUGUAAGCUCAGUGGAUUUUCCACAAAGGAUUUUGUCAUCCUCGCCAUUGGUUCAGUGUUUUUCGAACUGAGAAGGCAGACAAAAUUGAGCAAGCCAGGAGACCUGCCAUUUCGAUGAUUCUGUG
rnacentral:ncRNA from 2 species